CACUCCUACGGGAGGCAGCAGUGGGGAAUAUUGCACAAUGGGCGCAAGCCUGAUGCAGCCAUGCCGCGUGUAUGAAGAAGGCCUUCGGGUUGUAAAGUACUUUCAGCGGGGAGGAAGGCAAUACGGUUAAUAACCGUGUUGAUUGACGUUACCCGCAGAAGAAGCACCGGCUAACUCCGUGCCAGCAGCCGCGGUAAUACGGAGGGUGCAAGCGUUAAUCGGAAUUACUGGGCGUAAAGCGCACGCAGGCGGUCUGUCAAGUCGGAUGUGAAAUCCCCGGGCUCAACCUGGGAACUGCAUUCGAAACUGGCAGGCUUGAGUCUUGUAGAGGGGGGUAGAAUUCCAGGUGUAGCGGUGAAAUGCGUAGAGAUCUGGAGGAAUACCGGUGGCGAAGGCGGCCCCCUGGACAAAGACUGACGCUCAGGUGCGAAAGCGUGGGGAGCAAACAGGAUUAGAAACCCGGGUAGUCCCAUG
rnacentral:rRNA from 1 species